rnacentral:rRNA from 1 species
AUGGGAGCCGGCCAGGACCUGGAGGCCGGCGCCGGCGACGGCGGCGAGAAGGGGAUGGCCCACUCCUCCUCCUCCGGCCCGCUCCCGCCGUCGGAGCCGCCGCACCUGCGGGGCCAGGACCCCGCCCAGUACCAGUACGGCACCUUCCACCCCCCUGCCCCCCACCCCGACGUCCGCCCCCACCCGCCCGUCGGCUUCCCCCAGCCCGCCCCGCCCCCCGGCUUCCAGCAGCAGCAGCAGCCCUACGCGCCCGCCGACCCCUACUACGCGCAGGGGUACCAGGCCGCCCCAGGUUAUGGUCCUGUUGUUCAAGGUAGGCCUGUUGAAGGAAGACCCAUGAGAAUGCGGCGCCUUCCAUGCUGUGGGCUCGGCAUGGGCUGGCUUCUGUUCAUUGCUGGGUUCUUCUUUGCUGCCAUUCCGUGGUAUAUUGGUGCAUUCAUCCUAAUCUGCGUCCGGGUACAUGACCACAGAGAGAAACCAGGAUAUGUUGCCUGCACUGUUGCUGCUAUAAUUGCGGCCAUUGUUAUACCCCUUGGAGUAACAAAAGGAACAGACUCGUGGUGA